rnacentral:rRNA from 1 species
GUAGCUUUGCUACUUCAUUGAGUAUCUUGUUUUAGACCCAGUCCUCAGAGUUGUUCAUUUAUUCUUGUUACCGGGUUCAAGUAAAGUUGGAUGAAUCUUGUGGUCCAUUUGGUAGUCGGUAGUAAAUUGUGCUAUGGAGUACUUGUUUUGAACUUGUGUAAUUUUAGGGGAGUUCUCAUGUCAUUGUAAAUGCAUGUUAUGGUAUUUGUUGAAUAAUUAUGAAAUUUCUUCCUAAUACUUUAAAAUCUCUACACAAUUGUGCUUGCUUGAGCAUAUGAAAAAGUUCAAUAUAGAAUAUUCCAAAAUAAUUUGUCUUUUAAAUAGAACAUAAAAAAACUUACAAUCGUCCUAGAACAUUGUAAUGUUGUAAUGUUAUUUGAUAGUAUUCAACUAUAUUCUAUUCUAUGGUACGGGAUCCCCUAGCGGGUGCACCGCCGACCGACCUUGAUCUUCUGAGAAGGGUUCGAGUGAGAGCAUACUUGUCGAGACACGAAAUAUGGUGAACUAUGCCUGAGCGGAGCGAAGCAAGAGGAAACUCUGGUGGAGGUCUGAAGCGAUACUGAUGUGCAAAUCGUUCGUCUGACUUGGGUAUAGGGGCGAAAGACUAAUCGAACNGUCUAGUAGCUGGUUCCCUCCGAAGUCUCCCUCAGGAUAGUUGGAGCUCAUUAGCGAGUUCUAUCAGGUAAAGCCAAUGAUUAGAGGCCUCGGGGGAGCAAUGCCCUCGACCUAUUCUCAAACUUUAAAUAGGUAGGAUGACGUAGCUGCUUUGUUGAGCCGUGCCAUGGAAUCGAGAGCUCUAAAUGGGCCAUUUUUGGUAAGCAGAACUGGCGAUGCGGGAUGAACNGGAAGCCGGGUUACGGUGCCCAACUAUGCGUUAACCUAGAUCCUACAAAGGGUGUUGGUCGAUUAAGACAGCAGGACGGUGGUCAUGGAAGUCGAAAUCUGCUAAGGUGUGUGUAACAACUCACCUGCCGAAUCAACUAGCCCCGAAAAUGGAUGGCGCUGGGGCACGUGACCAAUACCCGGCCGUCAGGGCAAGUGCUAGGCCCCGAUGAAUAGGAGGGCGCAACGGUCGCUACAAAACCUAUGGCGUGAGCCAGGGCGGAGCGGCCGUUGGUGCAGAUCUUGGUGGUAGUAGCAAAUAUUCAAAUGAGAACUUUGAAGGCCGAAGAGGGAAAAGGUUCCAUGUAAACGACACUUACAUAUGGGUUAUUCAAUCCUAAGAGAUGGGGGAAGCAUGUCUGAUAGCGCGUUUUGCGCAAGCUUCGAAAAGGAAUCAGGUUAAAAUUUCUGAAUCGGGACGUGGCAGUUGACGGUAACGUUGGGAAGUCCGAAGACGUCGGCGGGGGCCUCAAGAAGAGUUAUCUUUUAUGUUAACAGUCUGCGGCCAGUCGGAGGUAGGGUCCACCGGCUGGAAGAGCACAGCACGUUUUGUGGUGUCUGGUGCGCCCUCGGCGGCCCUUGAAAAUCCGAGACCGAAUGUCGACCAGGCCCGAUCGUUCUCAUAAUCGCAUCAACUCUCCUAGGUGAACAACCUUUGGUCGAUGGAAGAAUGUAGACAAGGGUAUUCGGCAAAAUGGAUCCGUAACUUCGGGAAAAGUAUUGGCUCUGAGGGCUGGGCACGAGGGUCCAAGUCCCGAACUCGUCGGCUGUCGGUGGACUGCUCGAGCUGCUUCCGUGGCGAGAGCGGGUCGCCGCGUGCCGGCCGGGGGACGGACUGGGAACGAUCCCUUUGGGGGCCUUCCCCGGGCGUUGAGCAGUUAACUCAGAACUGGUACAGAUAAGGGGAAUCCGACUGUUUAAUUAGAACAAAGCAUUGCGAUGGUCCCUGCGGAUGUUAACGCAAUGUGGUUUCUGCCCAGUGCUCUUAAUGUCAAAGUGAAGAAAUUCAACCAAGCGCGGGUAAACAACAGGAGUAACUAUGACUAUCUUAAAGUAGCCAAAUGACUUGUCAUCUAAUUAGUGACGCAUGAAUGGAUUAACGAGAUUCCCACUGUCCCUGCCUACUAUCCGGCGAAACCACAACCAAGGGAACGAGCUUGGCAGAAUCAGCGGGGAAAGAAAACUUUGCUGAGCUUGACUCUAGUCCGACUUUGUGAAAUGACUUGAGAGGUGUAGGAUAAGUGGGAGNUUCGGCGCAAGUGAAAUACCACUACUUUUAACGUUAUUUUACUUACUCUGUGAGUCGGAAGCUGGGCAAUGCCCCUCCUUUUAUACCUAAGGUCCACUUUGCGGGCCGAUCCGAGCGGAGGACAUUGGUAGGUAGGGAGUUUGGCUGGGGCGGCACAUCUGUUAAAAGAUAACUCAGGUGUCCUAAAAUGAGCUCAACGAGAACAUAAAUCUCGUGUGGAACAGAAGGGUAAAAGCUCGUUUGAUUCUGAUUUUCAGUACGAAUACAAACCGUGAAAGCGUGGCCUAACGAUCCUUUAGACCUUUUGAAUUUAAAGCUAGAGGUGUCAGAAAAGUUACCACAUCGAUAACUAGCUUGUGGCAGCCAAGCGUUCAUAACAACGUUGCUUUUUUAUCCUUCAAUGUCGACUCUUCCUAUCAUUGUGAAUCAGAAUUCACCAAGUGUUGGAUUGUUCACCCACCAAUAGAGAACGUGAGUUGGGUUUAGACCGUCACGAGACAUGUUAGUUUUACCCUAUUGAUGACAGUGUCUCAAUGGUAAUUCAGUCUAGAACGAGAGGAACCGUUGAUUCACACAAUUGGUCAUCGCGCCUGGUUGAAAAGCUUGUGGCGUGAAGCUACCGCGUGCUGGAUUAUGACUAAACGCCUCUAAGUCAGAAUCCGGGCCAAAAGCGACGCAUGCGCCCUCCGCUCGAUUGU